rnacentral:rRNA from 5 species
AAAUUGAAGAGUUUGAUCAUGGCUCAGAUUGAACGCUGGCGGCAGGCCUAACACAUGCAAGUCGAACGGUAACAGGAAGCGCUUGCUGCUUCGCUGACGAGUGGCGGACGGGUGAGUAAUGUCUGGGAAACUGCCUGAUGGAGGGGGAUAACUACUGGAAACGGUAGCUAAUACCGCAUAACGUCGCAAGACCAAAGAGGGGGACCUUCGGGCCUCUUGCCAUCGGAUGUGCCCAGAUGGGAUUAGCUUGUUGGUGGGGUA